GACUCCAUGGUAAAACAAUGGUUAAAUUAAAAUGAAAAGAAAGUAGAAACUAAAGAAACUCAAGAAGACAUCGACGUUGUUUAACUGUUUUCGCAAGGUUACAUGACGGUGUCUCCCCAAGUUGUGCGGCGUCAGAGACGGCGUCUAUGCAGACCCUGACGUCAGACGCAGACUGCAGACGCAGACGCAGGCUCUUCUGGAGGAACGAGAAUGCAGCCAUAGUGAUAUGUAUGUAGCAUAUGCAUGGAGCAAUGUCGGGUCUUGUGAAAAGAGAGUGUGACAUUUUCCCUCACCCAGAGUUCAAUCCAAGAACGACGCAACUACUGAUUGAACUGACACAACAGCACUGGGACCAGUACAAAAUAAAUAAAACUCAAUUUUAUCAAAUGCUGCACGGUGAAUUCCUUGCGCACGGAUACAAUAUUCCGGCGCAAAAGAUUAGGAAAAAGUGGAAUAAUCUGCUUGUCACUUACAAGCGAACAAAAGACAGAACCAGGGUGUCAGGCGAAACGAGGAUUACUUGGGAGUACUUUGAGGCCCUUGACAGCAUUCUGUCACAGACAGUGGGCGUACUGCCAAUAUCGAGGGCCGCUAUCUCCACAGCGCUCUUCCCUACCGUUACCGAGCAACGCCCAGCACCAGCGCUUAUGUUGCCCUCCCCUGCACCGUGUACGCCCACUCCUUCGCUCACUCAAUCACCUGACGGAAGCCAGGGAAGCCCCACGGACUCCACCAUCACCACCUCGCCAACGACGUCACGCCCGCCCAGGGCAGAGGCGGACAGGAAGAGGAGCACGUUGCUGGAUGCCACAGACAUGUUUCUGGAGAAUUACGAAGGGCACGCGCUGCGACGCACGAAAGUUCUGGAGAGCCUGGCCAACAGACACACGCGGCGAAACUUUGUAGCGGAAAAACGGAGGGAAAACCGGGAGACGAGGAGAGAGAAGCGGGAGGAGGACAUGCUGGCCUGUUUGAAGGACAUGUCUUCAACGCUCCGCCAGAUUUCAAAGCAACAGGACCGUAUCAUAGCUCUGCUGGAAAAAAGACCCUAAUUUGUCCCUCUAAUUGGUUUUGCAUGUGUGUGCUCUAUAUAUUUCAUACAUAUGUAUUUCAUACAUAUGUAUUUUAUCUGAAUAGCUUGUGUGCAGGCCAGAGAGUCAGAGUAUGGUAUGGAAGUCCAGCAGUCCUGGUCUAAUUUUGUUUAGUGAUGUCUACACUUGUUAACCCAGCUCUAAGUAAAAAAAAAAAGGAAGUUGCACAGGAAUGUGAGAGUGGGUUAAUGGUGCAUUAGCAUUUCUCACAGCUGUAAACACAGUGACCCAAUACCAGUGUUCUUUUAAAACCCAGAUCCUUUUUUAAUGUUUACACACAAAAUUCAAAACAGCAGGUGAAUUGUGCUAAAUUAUAAUUCCCUUUAUAUAUAUUUGCAGUCAAUAUAAUUAAUUGUUUCAAAUUUCGUAGUGCUAACCAAGUGAAAAUAAGUUCCAUCUCUUCUGCUUCCCGUUCUAUGAAUAAAGGCCCUGAUUACGUUUAAGCAGUAUGUCCACUUGGGGGCAGUGUGUUAAAUCAGUCAAACGUAAUCAAGCCAGAGUAACCCAUGCAGAUGUUGGUGAAGGAGGCCUGCUUACACAGAUGGGUGAAUGAUAGAGAGCCAGGUAAAAACAAAGCCAAGUUACUAUCAUUUAAUACAUGUGUUUCAAACCCUCAAUACUCAAAUACAUUAUGGCAAAGACUUGAUUCUUAGAACUGAUGUGUGAUGCUUGAAGUGAUGUAGACCUGAAAAAGUUGCUCUGUUUUAUGAGCUGUGUCACCCUGAAUCAUAAAGGAAAGCUGGGGUUAAACUCCUAUGGCAGAAGCUGGAUAAAUUGACAACUUUAGUAUCCCCCCAGGUGCAUUGUAAUUAGAAUCUAAAAACAACAAUUUACUUUUAUGAUAAACUUCUCUUCAUUUUACAAAAUGUGUUUUCUCCAAUAUACAUCUUGCCAGUGCUGAGGCACGUGUUUAUGUAAGUACAGUAGAUGGGUAGUUACUUGACUAACUCGUCUACCAACCUAGGUAGGUAUUGUGAAUAAUGUCAUGGUAUUUUAUGGAAUUAUGUUAUGGAAACAUUAUGUUAUGGAAUUUUCUGCAUUCAUCAUGUGAUUGUGUUUUACAGCAGAUUCUAUAGAAUAAGUUUAUGGUCAGCUAACUCAGCUUGACACAUUGUACUCAUUCAAACCCCUUCGUGUAUCUCUGUAGGAUGUGUCAAAUGAAUGUUCCAGCAUCCAGCAUUAAGAGGUCAGAAACUUCAGUGUUAAGAAUUCAGAGCUGUGAAUUUGUGUUUUUUCCACAAAAAAUGGAAUAAAAAGUUGGCGUAACAGA